rnacentral:rRNA from 1 species
AACGUAGGACGCAAGCGUUAUCCGGAGUUACUGGGCGUAAAGCGCGGGCAGGCGGCUCGAAGCGUCUGAUGUGAAAUCUCCUCGCUCAACGGGGAGAGGCCAUUGGAAACGGUCGGGCUGGAGGGCAGUAGAGGUAGGCGGAAUUCCGGGUGGAGUGGUGAAAUGCGUAGAGAUCGGGAAGAACAUCGGUGGCGAAAGCGCUCUACUGGACGGUAUCUGACACUGAGGGACGAAAGCUAGGGGAGCGAAUGGG